UACGAAGGGGGCUAGCGUUGCUCGGAAUCACUGGGCGUAAAGCGCACGUAGGCGGCGUCUUAAGUCAGGGGUGAAAUCCUGGAGCUCAACUCCAGAACUGCCUUUGAUACUGGCGACCUUGAGUCCGGGAGAGGUGAGUGGAACUGCGAGUGUAGAGGUGAAAUUCGUAGAUAUUCGCAAGAACACCAGUGGCGAAGGCGGCUCACUGGCCCGGUACUGACGCUGAGGAGCGAAAGCGUGGGGAGCGAACAGG
rnacentral:rRNA from 1 species